rnacentral:rRNA from 1 species
AAUCAACGGCGAAACUGCGAACGGCUCAUNAAUCAGUUGAAAUGCAUGGUGCUUUAUAACUUAGUCGGUUAAUACGGGCAACUCUCUUACUAAUCGUGCUUCGUUAUAUUCAUUCAGUGAAUUACGUUAUAAAAAUGACUGUUUAGGCAGGCACCACCAGCUUCUGACGCAUCAUUAAGUAGGAGGAGUAAAGGUUAUCCUAUGAGAUCACGCGUACGGGGAAUUAGGGUUCGGCUCCGGAGAAUGAGCAUGAGAGACGGCUCAUAGUUCUAAGGGAGGCAGCAGGCGCGGAAAUUGCCCAAUGUACAUUAGUACGAGGCAGUGACGAAGAAUCUUGAGCCUAUUUAUAGGUAUUGAGCUGAGGUGACAGUACAUAUGUCUCCGAAAGCAAAUAGUGGGAGAGCAUGGUGCCAGCAGCCGCGGUAAUUCCAUCACUGUUAGCUUUCUCUUACGUUGCUGCAGUUAAAAAGCUCGUAGCCUUUCCUAGGUAACGUAUYACCUUUGAGAAAAUCGGAGAGUUCAUACCAGGGUUACCGCUGUACAGCACAGCAAAGCAUGAUACUCGCGUAGCAAUACGUAUGCACUAUAUGGCAGCGCGGGACUGAUGGUAUUUGGUGGGGACAGGUGAAAYAGGAUGAUCCACCAAGGACCACCGACAGCGAAGGCAGUCGGUAAGCGCUGUCCAGUUUGGUCAAGAGCGAAAGUGUGAGGAUAGACGAUGAUUAGAAACCGUUUUAUUUCACGCCUUAAACGAUACCAUCUCAGAAGAGGGCGAAAGCUCUCAUCUCCAGGGAAACCGUAAGGUUUCGGGUUCUGGGGGAAGUAUGAUUGCAAGAUUGAAACUUGAAGGUAUUGACGGAAAGAUACCACAAGACGUGGAGUCUGCGGCUCAAUUUGACUCAACACGCAAAUCUUACCAGACCCAGAUGCUUUACGGAGCAACAGAUUGAGAGUUCUUUUGCGAUUGGGCAGUUGGUGGUGCAUGGCCGUCCUAGUUCGUGGUGUAAACUGUCUGCCUUAUUGCGUUAACGAGCGAGACAACCAGCCUAAAUUUUGGGCGAGCGCCAGCGCUGAGCUGGACGAACGUGGUUGCGCUAGCAGGUCUGUGAUGCCCUUAGACACUCUGGGCCGCGACGCGUACUACAAUGUUGGCUGCACAGCGUUGCUUUAACUAAAGUUAUGGCUAUUCGUCUGAACCGCCAACGUGGUAGGGAUCGAAGCUUGUAAUUGUUCUUCGUGAACGAGGAAUGUCUUGUAGGUGCGCGUUAUUAGCGCGCGCUGACUAUGUCCCUGUCUCUUGUACACACCGCCCGUCGCUCCUACCGACUUGGAUGUUUUGGUGAGUUGUUCGGAGUGCUAGCUUCACGGCAAGCACAAAGUUCUGCGAACCCCAA